GGGGCUUUGACGUCAGGAGGGCCAUGGCAACCGCUACAGGAUGACGUGCGUCGGUCUCCGUGGCAACUGUCUCCAUGAGGCUGCUGCUGUCGUAUCUGAGUUCGCCGUCGUGUCAGCUGACACAGCUCUGUUUCUUCUCGGCCUUGGUCCACAAUUUGCAACUCACCUGUUUACUCACCUGGCUUUCCAGCACUGGUCUGGUCGGUCUUGCAAUCCCAACUCAAACAAGACAAACCCCCUGAACCACACCUGCCUGCCCUCCUGCAUCUCACGUUCCCUUGGCCUCAGGAAAGGAUCAGAACAGACAAAGGAACUAGAGCCCUCUUUUCACCUUGAACCCUCAGCUGGGACACCCCUCUGGAAACCUGAGCCCCUGCUCUAAAAGACCCACCGGUAACACCCACUCCCAGUGUUCUUUUAAAAGCGGUAUUAAAAGACCCAGUAAAAUGGUGUAAACACAUAAGACAUUUAUUUUUGUAUGUUUCUGUAGUUUGAGUGGAUCAAACAUCAACUGCAGGGACAGUUGAUAUGCUGUCCCAUUGAAAUGUAUUGAUAUAGCACAUUUAAAAAAACACAGUUAAAACAGAAAAAGAUGCAGAUCAGAUGGGGAUAAUAAAUACCAAUAAAGAAUCAGUUCACAUUAAAAGAAAUAUAAGAUUAUAAGCAGAAAAUAAAAGAAUAUUACAGAGAAUAUCAUAUGUAAGAACAUUAAAAAAUAUAUUUAAAGACAAUUUUACAAGCCUUAUUUCCUAAAGUGUUGUUUCAAAGUUUUGUCCUUGGUGUUUCAAGGUUUCUGCAGGAAACCUUAAGU